CAAUAAAAAGCUCUAAUCCCUGGCUGUUGGGUGCCGGGCAUCUCAAGCAGGUCUGGAUGUCUGUGAGAUGGGUGAAGGUGACUUGGUGGAGACUCAUGAAGCCUGGGCAGAGCGAGCCAGGCGUGGUACUACUGGCUGACCUACUUCGGUGCACCAAGGCUCCCAUACAUGUCCCCAGAACAUUUGCUCACUAGAAUGUUCCCCUCCCCAUCCUGAUGCCUCCAUGGAUCGAAGUACCUAUGAUCCUGUCCAGGUCUAGAACUACUACUCCUGACUCCUGCCCAUGAAGUUGCUUCCUACUCCACUUUGUUCACCCCCGUUACCCUUCAGCACCUUGGCCAGAUGCCAGAAAGUCCAUUGUGCCCUAGCCUAAGCCUCAGCCACGGGCUGCUGUGCUGUGCUGUCCACCAGCCUCACCUGGCACCUCUCAGUGCAGGGCAGCUGAGAGAUGGCUGCGAGGCUGCAUAGACAAUUAUAUAAUUCUAGCCACAUCACAAAAACACUAUCCAAUGGUAGCUUUCAAAUAAAACUUAUAACAAUGAGGACUGAUGAUAUUUUGUUGGCUCACAAACCACAAGAGUUCAGAUGCAAACGCAAUGCAGUCUCCAGACUAAGGAAACUGAUAAUACAUGCAAUCUCUACACCAUCUUGUGUGCAAUUUUGUAUGUAGUUAAUGUCUU
rnacentral:lncRNA from 1 species